GGCUCAAGCUCAGCCAGCGAGGGCGUCGGCGCCGGCGACGAUCUCGAGGAUCUCCCCGGUGAUCUUGGCCUGGCGCUGGCGGUUGUAGGCGAUGGAGAGGUUCUUGCGGAGCUCGAUGGCGUUGUCGGUGGCGCUGCUCAUGGCGCUCAUCCGGGCGGCGAGCUCGCUGGCGAGCGACUCCUGCAGGGCGCGGAGGAUCUGGCUGUUGAGGUAGAGCGGGAGCAGCGCGUCGAGGAUCUGCACGGGGUCCUGCUCGAACUGCACCACGGGGGAGAAGGGCUGCGUCUCGAUCUUCACCUUCUCGCGCUCCACGGUGAGCUUCCCCUCCUUGGUGGUGAGGCGGAACAGCUCGUCCUCCGUGGCGUCCACGCACACGCCGUUGACGUCGCAGAUCUCCCCCUUGGGGGACAUGGGCAGCAGCGUCUGGAUGAUGGGGUCGGAGCGCACCAGGGACACGAACUUGGAGUAGAGCAGCUCCACCUUGUCCACCGCCUCGGAGACGAAGAGCGAGUACACCAGGUCGCAGAUGGCCUGCGAGUCCUUCACGGUGGGCACGCCGCUCACCUCCAGCUCCCGCUCCAGCGGGAUGUAGGGCGGCGCUGGAAGUAGGCGUUGCCCUUCUUCCCCACGCUGAUGACGUGUAUUCGAGGCCCAGCUGCUUGAGCUCGUCGAUGCGGGUGUCCGCCUUCUUGAGCACGUUGUUGUUGAAGCUGCCGCAGAGGCCGCGCUCGCCGGUGAGGACCACGAGGGCCACUUUCUUGACGGGGCGGGUGCGGGUGAGCGGCAGGUCGAUGUCCUCCGUCUGGAUCUCCUGGUUCAUGUUGUAGAGGACCUCCACGAGCGCCUCCGAGAAGGGGCGGGAGGAGACGACGGCCUCCUGCGCGCGCCGGACCUUGGCGGCGGCCACGAGCUUCAUGGCCUCGGUGAUCUUCUGCGUGUUGCGGACGGAGUCGAUGCGGCUGCGGAGCUCGCGGAGGGAGCACCGCACCACGAGGCCGCUGCCGCCGGAGCGCGGGGCGGAGGAGCGCCGCCGGGUGGAGGAGGCGCUGCUGGCGAGCGCCGAGGAGGACCACGCGGUGGAGAGGUGGGAGCACGACAUGGCUGGCUGGUGGUGGAUCCGCGGCGACGGGGAUCAACACCAGCGGCGGCGGUGGCGGAGGAGGGAGUGGAAGGGAGAGGGGCGGGAUGGGAG
rnacentral:lncRNA from 1 species